GAUGAACGCUGGCGGCGUGCUUAACACAUGCAAGUCGAACGAUGAAGCCCACUUGUGGGUGGAUUAGUGGCGAACGGGUGAGUAACACGUGAGUAACCUGCCCUUGACUCUGGGAUAAGCCUGGGAAACUGGGCCUAAUACCGGAUAUGACCUUCCAUCGCCUGGUGGUUGGUGGAAAGCUUUUGUGGUUUUGGAUGGACUCGCGGCCUAUCAGCUUGUUGGUGGGGUAAUGGCCUACCAAGGCGACGACGGGUAGCCGGCCUGAGAGGGUGACCGGCCACACUGGGACUGAGACACGGCCCAGACUCCUACGGGAGGCAGCAGUGGGGAAUAUUGCACAAUGGGCGCAAGCCUGAUGCAGCGACGCCGCGUGAGGGAUGACGGCCUUCGGGUUGUAAACCUCUUUCAGUAGGGAAGAAGCGUAAGUGACGGUACCUGCAGAAGAAGCGCCGGCUAACUACGUGCCAGCAGUCGCCGUAACAC
rnacentral:rRNA from 1 species